rnacentral:rRNA from 1 species
UAGGGAAUCUUCCGCAAUGGACGAAAGUCUGACGGAGCAACGCCGCGUGAGUGAAGAAGGAUUUCGGUUCGUAAAACUCUGUUGUUAGGGAAGAAAAAAUGUAUAGUAACUAUAUACAAAAGAGACGGUACCUAACCAGAAAGCCACGGCUAACUACGUGCCAGCAGCCGCGGUAAUACGUAGGUGGCAAGCGUUGUCCGGAAUUAUUGGGCGUAAAGCGCGCGCAGGUGGUUUAGAAAGUCUGAUGUGAAAGCCCACGGCUCAACCGUGGAGGGUCAUUGGAAACUAAUAAACUUGAGUGCAGGAGAGAAAAGUGGAAUUCCUAGUGUAGCGGUGAAAUGCGUAGAGAUUAGGAGGAACACCGGUGGCGAAAGCAGCUUUUUGGCCUGCAACUGACACUGAGGCGCGAAAGCGUGGGGAGCAAACAGG